GAGCUUGCUCCUUUGACGUUAGCGGCGGACGGGUGAGUAACACGUGGGUAACCUACCUAUAAGACUGGGACAACUUCGGGAAACCGGAGCUAAUACCGGAUAAUAUGUUGAACCGCAUGGUUCAAUAGUGAAAGAUGGUUUUGCUAUCACUUAUAGAUGGACCCGCGCCGUAUGAGCUAGUUGGUGAGGUAACGGCUCACCAAGGCAACGAUACGUAGCCGACCUGAGAGGGUGAUCGGCCACACUGGAACUGAGACACGGUCCAGACUCCUACGGGAGGCAGCAGUAGGGAAUCUUCCGCAAUGGGCGAAAGCCUGACGGAGCAACGCCGCGUGAGUGAUGAAGGUCUUCGGAUCGUAAAACUCUGUUAUUAGGGAAGAACAAACGUGUAAGUAACUGUGCACGUCUUGACGGUACCUAAUCAGGAAGCCACGGCUAACUACGUGCCAGCAGCCGCGGUAAUACGUAGGUGGCAAGCGUUAUCCGGAAUUAUUGGGCGUAAAGCGCGCGUAGGCGGUUUUUUAAGUCUGAUGUGAAAGCCCACGGCUCAACCGUGGAGGGUCAUUGGAAACUGGAAAACUUGAGUGCAGAAGAGGAAAUAGUGGAAUUCCAUGUGUAGCGGUGAAAUGCGUCAGAGAUAUGGAGGAACACCAGUGGCGAAGGCGACUUUCUGGUCUGUAACUGACCUGAUGUGCGAAAGCGUGGGGAUCAUACAGGAUUAGAUACCCUGGUAGUCCACGCCGUAAACGAUGAGUGCUAAGUGUUAGGGGGUUUCCGCCCCUUAGUCUGCACUACCAGUUAAGCA
rnacentral:rRNA from 1 species